rnacentral:rRNA from 1 species
CAGUAGCCGCGGUAAAACGAAGGGGGCUAGCGUUGCUCGGAAUGACUGGGCGUAAAGGGCGCGUAGGCGGCGAACAUAGUCAGGCGUGAAAUUCCUGGGCUCAACCUGGGGACUGCGCUUGAUACGUGUUUGCUUGAGUUCGGAAGAGGGUCGUGGAAUUCCCAGUGUAGAGGUGAAAUUCGUAGAUAUUCGGAAGAACACCAGUGGCGAAGGCGGCUUACUGGCUCAUACUGGACGCUGAGGUGCGAAAGCGUGGGGAGCAAACAGGAUUAGAUACCCCAGUAGUCCCUGUCUCUUAUAC